rnacentral:misc_RNA from 1 species
UCCGGGUUGGUCCCGGCGGUCCCGCCAGACACGAUAACUGGCGGCGAGGGUUGCGCUCGUUGCGGGACUUAACCCAACACCUCACGGCACGAGCUGACGACAGCCGUGCAGCACCUGUGCACGCUCCCUCGCGGGUCCUCGGCCUUUCGGCCUCGUACCACGUGCAUGUCAAGCCCAGGUAAGGUUCUUCGCGUUGCGUCGAAUUAAACCACACGCUCCGCUGCUUGUGCGGGCCCCCGUCAAUUCCUUUGAGUUUUAGCCUUGCGGCCGUAGUCCCCAGGCGGCGGACUUAUCGCGUUGGCUGCGGCACCGGGGGGGUCGAUACCCCCGACACCUAGUCCGCAUCGUUUACGGCGUGGACUAC